CCGCGCUGUAAACGAUGAUGGCUAACCGUGGGCGAUACACAGUCCGUGGCCAAGCGAAAGCGAUAAGCCAUCCACCUGGGGAGUACGGCCGCAAGGCUGAAACUCAAAGGAAUUGACGGGGGCCCGCACAAGCGGAGGAACAUGUGGUUUAAUUCGAUGAUACGCGAGGAACCUUACCCGGGCUCGAACGGCAGCUGAAUGACCCAGAGAUGGGUCAGUCUUCGGACAGUUGUCGAGGUGCUGCAUGGUUGU
rnacentral:rRNA from 1 species